CGAGAUCGUGUUCCUGUCCGCCAUCGAAGAAGCUGAUCACGUGAUCGCUCAGGCUUCGGCCACGAUGAACGACAAGAAAGUCCUGAUCGACGAGCUGGUAGCUGUUCGUCACUUGAACGAAUUCACCGUCAAGGCGCCUGAAGACGUCACCUUGAUGGACGUAUCGCCGAAGCAGGUAGUCUCGGUUGCUGCGUCGCUGAUCCCGUUCCUCGAGCACGACGACGCCAACCGUGCGUUGAUGGGUUCGAACAUGCAGCGUCAAGCUGUACCAACUCUGCGCGCUGACAAGCCGCUGGUCGGUACCGGCAUGGAGCGUAACGUAGCCCGUGACUCCGGCGUUUGCGUCGUGGCUCGUCGUGGUGGCGUUAUCGAUUCCGUCGACGCCAGCCGUAUCGUGGUUCGAGUUGCUGAUGACGAAGUUGAAACCGGCGAAGCUGGUGUCGACAUCUACAACCUGACCAAGUACACCCGCUCCAACCAGAACACCUGCAUCAACCAGCGUCCGCUGGUGCGUAAAGGUGAUCGGGUUCAGCGUAGCGACAUCAUGGCCGACGGUCCGUCCACCGAUAUGGGUGAGCUGGCUCUGGGUCAGAACAUGCGCAUCGCGUUCAUGGCAUGGAACGGCUUCAACUUCGAAGACUCCAUCUGCCUGUCCGAGCGUGUGGUUCAGGAAGAUCGCUUCACCACGAUCCACAUUCAGGAACUGACCUGUGUGGCGCGUGACACCAAGCUUGGGCCAGAGGAAAUCACUGCAGACAUCCCGAACGUGGGUGAAGCUGCACUGAACAAGCUGGACGAAGCCGGUAUCGUUUACGUAGGUGCUGAAGUAGGCGCAGGCGACAUCCUGGUUGGUAAGGUCACUCCGAAAGGCGAGACCCAGCUGACUCCGGAAGAAAAACUGCUGCGUGCCAUCUUCGGUGAAAAAGCCAGCGACGUUAAAGACACCUCCCUGCGCGUGCCUACCGGCACCAAGGGUACCGUCAUCGACGUACAGGUCUUCACCCGCGACGGCGUUGAGCGUGAUGCUCGUGCACUGUCGAUCGAGAAGACUCAACUCGACGAGAUCCGCAAGGACCUGAACGAAGAGUUCCGUAUCGUUGAAGGCGCCACUUUCGAACGU
rnacentral:rRNA from 1 species